rnacentral:rRNA from 1 species
CCUACGGGUGGCUGCAGUGGGGAAUAUUGCACAAUGGGCGCAAGCCUGAUGCAGCCAUGCCGCGUGUGUGAAGAAGGCCUUCGGGUUGUAAAGCACUUUCAGCGGGGAGGAAGGCGGUGAGGUUAAUAACCUCAUCGAUUGACGUUACCCGCAGAAGAAGCACCGGCUAACUCCGUGCCAGCAGCCGCGGUAAUACGGAGGGUGCAAGCGUUAAUCGGAAUUACUGGGCGUAAAGCGCACGCAGGCGGUCUGUCAAGUCGGAUGUGAAAUCCCCGGGCUCAACCUAGGAACUGCAUUCGAAACUGGCAGGCUAGAGUCUUGUAGAGGGGGGUAGAAUUCCAGGUGUAGCGGUAAAAUGCGUAGAGAUCUGGAGGAAUACCGGUGGCGAAGGCGGCCCCCUGGACAAAGACUGACGCUCAGGUGCGAAAGCGUGGGGAGCAAACAGGAUUAGAUACCCGGGUAGUC